rnacentral:rRNA from 1 species
GGGAUUGCCCUAGUAACGGCGAGUGAAGCGGCAACAGCUCAAAUUUGAAAUCUGGCCCUAGCGGUCCGAGUUGUAAUUUGUAGAGGAUGCUUUUGGCGCGGUGCCUUCCGAGUUCCCUGGAACGGGACGCCUUAGAGGGUGAGAGCCCCGUACGGUUGGACGCCUAGCCUCUGUAUAGCUCCUUCGACGAGUCGAGUAGUUUGGGAAUGCUGCUCUAAAUGGGAGGUAAAUUUCUUCUAAAGCUAAAUACCGGCCAGAGACCGAUAGCGCACAAGUAGAGUGAUCGAAAGAUGAAAAGCACUUUGAAAAGAGGGUUAAAUAGCACGUGAAAUUGUUGAAAGGGAAGCGUUUGCGACCAGACUUUUUCCGGGCGGAUCAUCCGGUGUUCUCACCGGUGCACUUCGCCCGGUUUAGGCCAGCAUCGGUUCUCUUAGGGGGAUAAAGGCCUAGGGCACGUAGCUCUUUCGGGAGUGUUAUAGCCCUUCGCGUAAUACCCCUCGGGGGACCGAGGAACGCGCUCUGCAAGGAUGCUGGCGUAAUGGUCGUCAACGACCCGUCUUGAAACACGGACCAAGGAGUCGAACAUUUGUGCGAGUGUUUGGGUGUUAAACCCUCACGCGUAAUGAAAGUGAACGGAGGUGAGAGCCCUUCGGGGUGCAUCAUCGACCGAUCCUGAUGUCUUCGGAUGGAUUUGAGUAAGAGCAUAACUGUUCGGACCCGAAAGAUGGUGAACUAUGCGUGGAUAGGGUGAAGCCAGAGGAAACUCUGGUGGAGGCUCGCAGCGGUUCUGACGUGCAAAUCGAUCGUCAAAUCUGCGCAUGGGGGCGAAAGACUUAUCGAACCAUUAAACCAGCGGUAAAAAACGAUUUACUAGGUGGUUAAGAGGCACCCCGGGAGGGGUGCCUAGGUCAUCUGGGGCGACCUACCCUGGAGCUACCCUGUACUUGCCUACCCUAUAGUUACCCCGCCGCGGGGUAGCGGGGGAGGCGAGCUACCCUGUAGCUACCCUGGAGUAGGGAGUUCCGGCCGACACCGCUAAAUUGCGGGGACGUCCUAUCAGAAGGCCGCAGGCUACCGCCGCGCGCUGAAAAGCGCCGCGGCACCAAGAAUAGCGCUCUUGGGUACGGUAAUAACGCCUGCGGUAACGGAUAACCUGCAGCCAACCCCGCGUGUUACAGGGGAGAGUUCACUGACUAAAUAGCGGUGGGUCAGCCGUAGGCUGGCUUAAGACAUAGUCGAUCCGGGCCCUGAAAAGG